GACAGAGGUGCCGAGCGUUAGGCGGAAUCACUGGGCUUAAAGCGUGUGUAGGCGGGCGGGCAAGUACCUUGUGAAAUCCCACGGCUCAACCGUGGAACGGCUGGGUAUACUGCCUGUCUUGAGCCAACUAGGGGCGAGCGGAACAGACGGUGGAGCGGUGAAAUGCGUAGAUAUCGGGAAGAACACCCGUGGCGAAGGCGGCACUCUGGGACGGUACUGACGCUGAGACGCGAAAGCGUGGGGAGCGAACAGG
rnacentral:rRNA from 1 species